UUUUUUUUUUUAUUUAUCAUCGUUGUUUUCAGCGGGGGGCGAGCCGGGGUGAGAAGGAUUUCGUGAUUUGGUUUUUUUGUUGUUGGUUUUUUUUUUUUUUUCUAACAACCCACCCGCCCCAGCUUUUUUGCAGGUGCCCGCAGCGCAAAGCGGUGCCUGGAAAGUUUUGUUUGCGUGCGAGCGGCGGCGGCCCGGGCUGGGAUGCGGAGCCCGGGGCCCGGCUCUCCGCCGCCUCCCCCCGCACCGCGGCUGCCGCCGCCGGGGCUGGCGUAGGCGCCCCCUGGGAGAGCCGAGUGCGGGCAUUAAACCCCCCUCCCUCCUCCCCGCCGCCCUCCUCCGCCCCCCUCCGUCCCUCCCUCCCUCGCUCCCUCCCUCUCUCGCUCCCUCCCUCCCUCUCCCCGGUGCGCGGCCAUUGCAGUGACCCCGGCCGGCCAAGGAUGAUCACGAACACGCGGGGCUUCCUGUGGUCGGACCUGGAGACGCGGGCGCUGCUGGAGAUCUGGGGCGAGGCGGACGUGCAGUCGGCGCUGGACGGCAACUUUCGGAACAGCCAUGUGUACCGGGACGUGGCCUGCCGCCUGGCCGAGCUGGGCUUCGAGCGCACCCCGGAGCAGUGCCGCAUCCGCAUCAAGGGCCUCAAGCGCCAGUACUACCAGGCCCGGGACGGGCUGAAAAAGAACGGGCACGCCCGCAAGAUAUGCAAGUACUACGACGAGAUGGACCGGAUCCUCAGCUGCCGGGGGGGCCCGGACGGCGCCCCCGAGCCGCUGGCCCCGGCGCCCGAGGGCGCGCAGCCGUCGGGGCCGCUGGCCGGGCCGCCCACGCCGGGCACGCCGCACAACAGCCGCGAGGUGGACGCCGAGCUGGACGAGGACGCCGAGCUGGAGUCCCCCCGCGACAACUUCACCGAGGACUCCGGGGAGUGCUCCUCCUACGCCGACCACCCCAUCAAGGUGGAGUGCCCCCCCUUCGCCAUCCCCGUGCCGCCGGGCGACGGCUUUAAAGAAAUCAAUGCUCCAACUAUUACCCCGCCUCUCAGUCAGCCCAAAAGAUCAAAAAAACGCCAUGCGAAUUUAACGUUGGAUAAAAUGAUGGAAAAAUUCCUGCAGCAGAGUGUGGAUACAGAAGAGAAAUUUUACAGAUACGAAGAGCAGAGGCUCAAAAUUGAGGACAAGCGUCGGGAAGCUGAGCAUGCUCGAGAGCUCCAGAUGUUACAGAUGCUGGGACAGAUGUUGGCAGGAAUUUCUUCUACAGUAUCACAAAGGUCACAAUCUAUACCAGCGAGUCCACCUCAGAGAGCGAACCAUCGUUCAUAUGGGGAUAACUUUAAUUAUAAUGCUAUGACAGCAGCACUUUCUCCACCGAUAGUUAUAGAGAGAUCUUUUUCACUGCACAGAACACACUCUCUAAAGGAUAUGGAGAACAUUUUUCAACUGGUGCGCAAUGUUAUCCCUCCUCUAACAGGGAAGAGGCAUAAAGGUCAGGAUGGACGUAUAGGCAUCGUUGGAGGAUGUCAAGAAUACACUGGAGCACCGUAUUUUGCUGCAAUUACAGCUCUCAAAGUGGGUGCAGAUUUAUCCCAUGUGUUUUGUACCAAAGAUGCAGCAACAGUAAUCAAAUCAUAUAGUCCAGAGCUGAUUGUUCAUCCGGUCCUUGAUAGUCCCAAUGCUGUCCAUGAGGUGGAAAAGUGGUUACCACGACUGCACUCAGUUGUCAUAGGACCUGGCUUAGGUAGAGAUGAAGUUCUACUUGAGAACGCUAAGGGUAUUAUAGAAAAAUCGAAAGUCAAAGGAAUUCCUAUCAUUAUUGAUGCUGAUGGACUGUGGCUCAUUUCCCAGCAGCCUUCUCUUAUUCAAGGCUACCAGCGAGCCAUCCUUACUCCAAACUACAUGGAGUUUAGUAGACUGUAUGAAGCCAUGCUUAGAGACCCCGUAGACAGUAGUGAUCAUCAUGGAUGUGUAUUAAGACUCAGCCAAGCCAUGGGGAAUUUGACAGUUGUUCAAAAGGGAGAAAGAGAUCUUAUUUCAGAUGGAGAGAAAGCUUGGUCUACAGUUGUUGAUUCCCUGCUCUACAAAGAUGAGCUUCACCAUGCUCUUGGUAGGUGAUAUCAGUGCCAUCACUGACCAGGGUAGGAAUGAGUACUCAGCCUGUGGGUAAAAGUACUUGUAUGCAGUCACGAAGGAAGCAGCCGGAGAUGUGGUGGACAGGGGGACCUCCUUUCUGGGUCUCUUGGAGUCUUAGCGCACUGGGCAUUUCUUGCUGGAGCAGAAAAAACAAA